UACGAAGGGGGCUAGCGUUGCUCGGAAUCACUGGGCGUAAAGCGCACGUAGGCGUGUCUUUAAGUCAGGGGUGAAAUCCCGGAGCUCAACUCCGGAACUGCCUUUGAUACUGGAGAUCUUGAGUCCGGGAGAGGUGAGUGGAACUGCGAGUGUAGAGGUGAAAUUCGUAGAUAUUCGCAAGAACACCAGUGGCGAAGGCGGCUCACUGGCCCGGUACUGACGCUGAGGUGCGAAAGCGUGGGGAGCAAACAGG
rnacentral:rRNA from 1 species